AGCAGCCGCGGUAAUUCCAGCUCCAAUAGCGUAUAUUAAAGUUGUUGCAGUUAAAAAGCUCGUAGUUGAAUUUCGGGAUCAGUACGUUGGUCGUGCCUUGGUACGUACUGGCGUCACUGGUUCCUACCUUCUGACGAACCGUCAUGUCAUUAAUUUGGUGUGGCGGGGAAUCAGGACUGUUACUUUGAAAAAUUAGAGUGUUUAAAGCAGGCUCGCGCUUGAAUACAUUAGCAUGGAAUAAUGAAAUAGGACGUUCGAUCCUAUUUUGUGGUUUCUAGGAUUGACGUAAUGAUUAAUAGGGAUAGUUGGGGGCAUUAGUAUUCAAUUGUCAGAGGUGAAAUUCUUGGAUUUAUUGAAGACUAACUACUGCGAAAGCAUUUGCCAAGGAUGUUUUCAUUAUACAAGAACGAAAGUUAGGGGAUCGAAGACGAUCAGAUACCGUGUAGUCUUAACCAUAAACUAUAGCCGACUAGGGAUCGGAUGAUGUUAUUUAA
rnacentral:rRNA from 1 species